CCUACGGGAGGCAGCAGUGGGGAAUAUUGGACAAUGGGCGAAAGCCUGAUCCAGCCAUGCCGCGUGUGUGAAGAAGGCCUUCGGGUUGUAAAGCACUUUCAGUGGGGAAGAAAGCCUUGGGGCUAAUACCCUCGAGGAAGGACAUCACCCACAGAAGAAGCACCGGCUAACUCCGUGCCAGCAGCCGCGGUAAUACGGAGGGUGCGAGCGUUAAUCGGAAUUACUGGGCGUAAAGCGCGCGUAGGCGGUCUGAUAAGCCGGUUGUGAAAGCCCCGGGCUCAACCUGGGAACGGCAUCCGGAACUGUUAGGCUAGAGUGCAGGAGAGGAAGGUAGAAUUCCCGGUGUAGCGGUGAAAUGCGUAGAGAUCGGGAGGAAUACCAGUGGCGAAGGCGGCCUUCUGGACUGACACUGACGCUGAGGUGCGAAAGCGUGGGUAGCAAACAGGAUUAGAUACCCUGGUAGUC
rnacentral:rRNA from 1 species